rnacentral:rRNA from 1 species
GACGAACGCUGGCGGCGCGCUUAACACAUGCAAGUCGAACGGAAAGGCCUGCGUUCCCUUGUGGAUUGCGGGUACUCGAGUGGCGAACGGGUGAGUAACACGUGAGUGAUCUGCCCCCAACUUGGGUAUAAGCCUGGGAAACUGGGUCUAAUUCCCGAUAGGACUGCAGGGUGGUGCCUGUGGUGGAAAACGAUUUUCUAGUGGUUGGGGAUGAGCUCGCGGCCUAUCAGCUUGUUGGUGGGGUAAUGGCCUACCAAGGCGGCGACGGGUAGCCGGCCUGAGAGGGUGGACGGCCACAUUGGGACUGAGAUACGGCCCAGACUCCUGCGGGAGGCAGCAGUGGGGAAUAUUGCACAAUGGGCGGAAGCCUGAUGCAGCGACGCCGCGUGGGGGAUGACGGCCUUCGGGUUGUAAACUCCUUUCGACCGCGAGGAAGCCACCUGGUUGGAAGGGUGGUGACGGUAGUGGUAGAAGAAGCACCGGCUAACUACGUG